CUCUGGUUUGAUGAUGUAUUUUUGUUGCAAGCAAAGAAAAACUUAGUGUAGAAACUUGCAAAGAGAGAACAACCACACCUGUUGCAGCAAAGUUCAGAGACAGAAGACACCACAGGGGACCCACUCACUUUUUGUCUGGGAUGAAAAAUGUUGUACUUGGAAAAGCCAACAUCAGUUUGGAAUCAACAAAGUAAAAGAAAAUUAUUGCUAAUAUGAAAUAUAUGAGAAUUACUCUGCAUACUGAGUGUAGAGCUUAUUCUAAAUUGGAAA